rnacentral:rRNA from 1 species
GACGUAGGGCGCGAGCGUUGUCUGGAUUUAUUGGGCGUAAAGAGCUCGUAGGCGGCUUGUCGCGUCGUCCGUGAAAACCUGCGGCUCAACUGCAGGCUGGCGGUCGAUACGGGCAGGCUGGAGUUCGGUAGGGGAGACUGGAAUUCCUGGUGUAGCGGUGAAAUGCGCAGAUAUCAGGAGGAACACCGGUGGCGAAGGCGGGUCUCUGGGCCGAUACUGACGCUGAGGAGCGAAAGCGUGGGGAGCGAACAGG